GUUGUUUUUGCACGGCGUUCCACGUCUCGAGUGAGCAGCAGGGCUCACUCACCACAACGGUCUAGCCUAUUUAAAGACGAUAGGUCUCAAAGAUACCAUCCUGGGAAGAGAUUCAGCGGAAGAUGAUGCCACAGAGAUUGUCCACAGACCAAAGUAUAAAGCCAAAGAAGAAAACUGCUUCAACGAAGAAUGCUUUAUUUGUGAAAAAGUGGGACAUAGACCACGAGACUGCAGGGACAAGAAAAUUAACGGUAAACACAAGAAGGAAAAAGAUUCUACACGUGGCGGGAACAAGGUGUCUGCUAUUUUACAGGAUCCACGGAGCUACACACCCAUGACCAAGAAUGAAAGCCAGAAGAAUGAGGAGCAGAACUCAUUCGUUCUAAAGGUGAAUGAACCUAAAUCACAGUUUACACGACAGAAAGGUCUUCUUGUGGACAGCGGUGACUUUGUUUACAUUGUGACAGAUGAGAAAGGGUUCAUAGCAUUUGAUGAGAUGUUCCAUCCAAAGAAUCAUGUGAUGGAGUUGGCAGAUGGGAUACAGUAUGAAGAAAGGUGAUGCCCAAAUCCAGAUGAUCGAUGACAGGGGAAACGUGGUGAAUGUGACACUUUCAAGCGCCCUGUUGAUUCCUGAAUAUCCGCCUAACAUCUUGUCACUAGACCCUGCAGCUUCUAAAGGAGCAAAAUUCUAUUUUGAGAAAAGCAACAGCAAGAAGAUUUCCCCUGAUGGCACAACAUGCAGCAUAAAGGUAAAAGGGAAACUGUAUUACCUGGGCAGUGUGGAGAAACCAGACGAGAGCUAUAAUGAUGAAUGUAAUACAUGUUUUGACCUAAAAACCUGGCAUGAAAUAAUUGCAAUUAUGGUGAUAUACUUAAACUUGAACCUGUUGUAAAUGGCAUCAAAAUUAGAGAGAAGGAUCACAAACCAGUAGAGUGUGAGAUUUGCCUACAAGGCAAAUUUACUCAAACAAGAAACAGAGAAGCAGAUGUGAGAGCUAAAACUCCAUUGGAACUUGUACACAAAGACCUGGGAGGCCCUAUACCGCCAGAGUCUUUUGAGGGAUACAAAUAUGCCAUUACUUUUACCGAUAAUUUUUCAGGUGCCAUCUACAGUAUGUGUAUUUUCUGAGGAACAAAAACAAAGCAGUGCAAGCUACAAAGCAAUUUCUAACAGAUAUAGCACCUUAUGGUAAGGUGAAAAGUUGAGACGAUGGAACAGAAUUUACUUCUGAGGAAUAUCAAACAUUGCUAAGAGACAAUCCAAUAAAACAUGAGAGGUCAGCUCCAUACUCCCCCCAUCAAAAUGGGACAGCGGAGAGGAACUGGGGCACACUGUUUGAAAUGGUGAGGUGUAUACUGAUUGAGUCAGGUUUACCCGAAAAGUUAUGGCCUCAUGCGGCCAGGAUGGCUGCAGUGAUAAAAAACAGGUGUUACUGUAAAAGAACAGGGGAGACACCAUACUACCUCUUUACUGGGAAGAGGCCAGAACUGUCCAGAAUGAGAAAGUUUGGUUCAGAUUGCAUUGUGUAUGAACAAAAUGAGAAAAAGUUAGAUCCAAAAAGGGAAUUUUUGUUGGUUUUAACAGACACCAACAGAAUAGAAAAACACGUCUGAUACAUUUUAUCACAAAGGGAAAGAUGGAGAUUCAAACACAGACUGAAACAGAACUGGGAGACUACCUCAUAUGGUGGGUAACAGGACCAAUCAAUGAAAGUCAGUCAGAAACAGAACAAAUGAGGUCUGUUGAACAAGAGACAGACAUCGGUACCGAUAAUCAAACUACACGUACGUCAAGCAAAGAAAGAUCCCAAAUACUUGGAAGAUUAUGAGUGCACAGUACAAGAUAGUGAACUAACUAUUGAUUACUGUUACAGAACUACAGUUGGACUACCACAGACCUAUGAAGAAGCUGUAAGGUCACACAGAGCAGGCAGGUGGAGAAAAGCUAUGACAGAUGAGAUGAUUUCAUUCAAGCAAAAUGACACUUUCUCUCUUGUACCUUUACCAGAGGGUAGACAGACAGUGGGGGAAGGUGGGUUUAUGCUAUAAAAGAGGAUGAACAGGGUAAGGAAACAUACAAAGCCAGGUAUGUAGCAAAGGGGUACGCACAGGUUGAAGGACUAGACUACUCCGAGACUUUUUCUCCAACUGCAAGUUUAACGUCACUAAGAAUGCUAAUGCAGAUAGCGACACAGCAUGAUUUUAAGUUACACCAGUUACACCAGCUGCAUAUCUACAUGCACCCAUUGACUACGAAAUGUAUAUGGAAUAGCCACAAGGGUUCAUGUGAAGUCGGAGAAAGGGGAGGAACUGGUAUGUAAACUAAACAAAUCAAUUUAUGGUCUUUAUGGUGGAAGAAACUGGAACAUGAUGCUUCGUGAGAUUUUGACUGAGAAUGAGUUUGUACAGAGUGAAACAGAUAACUGUAUCUACACUAAACUGUCAGACAAUGAGAAGGUAAUUUUGUAGGUAUGGGUUGAUGAUAUAAUUGUAGCGACAAGCAACAAAAUGUGUCUGAAAGUCAAAGAUAAACUGAAAACUAAGUUUAAAAUGAAAGAUUUAGGAAAACUCUCUCAUUUUAUUGGUACUGACUUAACCCAAAUGGAUAAGAUACUGUCAAAAUGAGCCAAUCCAGGUACAUUGACAAGAUUCUUAAAAGGUUUGGCAUGUAUGAUCGUAAAGCCAAAGCUACACCCAGUGAAGCAAAAUGUGAUCUCACACCAGAAGGAGAUCUAACAGACCAGAGGAAAUACAGAGAAAUGUUGGGCAGUCUCGUUUACAUUAUGAGCUGUACCAGACCAGACAUUAGUUGGAUUGUGAGUAAAUUAUCACAAUAUCUGGCAGAACCUAGGGAAAAACACAUGACAGCUGUGAAACAUGUGUACAGAUAUUUGAAAGGAACUAAAGACAUUGUGUUGUGUUAUAAAAGAGGUGUCAACAAACUGGAAGCGACUGGUUAUUCUGAUGCAGAUUGGGCUAACGACCCAGAUGACAGAAAGAGCAUUACAGGUUAUUUUUUCAUCUUAAAUAAAGGUGGUGCUGUCAUUUCAUGGAAAACCAAGGAACAACAAACUGUAGCAUUGUCAACGUGUGAAGCAAAGUACAUGGCCUUGGCACCCACAACCCAGGAAGCCCUUUACCUCACACAACUGUUGAAAGACAUGGACUGUAACUUUCAAGACACACCAGUCAAAAUCUUCAAAGACAAUCAAGGAACUAUACGCCUGGCAAAGAAUCCUGUGAAUCGUCAGAGAAGCAAACAUGUGGACGUCAAAUAUUAUUUCACAAGGUCCACUGUGUUAGAAGGGAAAGUUGUUCUAAUUUACUGUCCUACUGAAAACAUGGUGGCAGAUGUGUUUAUAAAAUCUGUAACAAGAGUCAAGAUUGAGAGGUUCUAUACAUACAUGUUUGGUAUGUAAUAUUAUGAUUGAUGUGAGUGACAUCAUCGAGUAGAGUGCGAUGACUGUCACAGUAGACGAUCUCUGUGUACAUACAUCACUGACUGUUCUGCAAAACAGUAUUAUUUUUAGAAAGAGAGACAAACUCGUGCCUAAAGUGAUCCACAUUACGGAGCAUCUGGCAGCAGAUGCUGUGCUCCUAAAUUGUUAAAUUCACACAUCUCUCUCUUCUGAUGUGAACGACUGAUACAGACAGACUUGGUAUCAUUUAAAAGCAUGUAAUCUAAACUAUAAGACUGCGUAUAGCUUGUUAUUGUCAAUAACAUGUGAACGUUGCACAUGCCCCUCAUCCUAAGUCUGAAUAAAUGAAAUAUUAUUUAAA